CUCGGCCCCAGCAUCUUCUGUUGAACGGACAUGCCGCCUCUUUGGCGUCGGCUACAUGAGAGCCAUGGAUCAAUGAUGCCGACCUCCUUGCAGAGUUGUGCCAGAUUCCAAAUGAUGACCUACUCGUGCAGUUGUGAUAGGCCAAAUAAAAGAUGUUCUCGGUGGAGUUGCACUUGAGGAUGAGCACAGAGAGAAAUUUAAUCAAAUCCAAAAGGAAAGCUGUGAGUAGACGUCAACGAUGCCUACUUGUUUGGCUGCUACAGUGAUGCAUGCGCCGGUCAAGCAAGCACACAUGCAUAUACGUUCCUACUAUAUUCCUGCUAUAUACGUACAUGUGUAAAUGUA